CCUACGGGGGGCUGCAGUGGGGAAUAUUGGACAAUGGGGGGAACCCUGAUCCAGCCAUGCCGCGUGUGUGAAGAAGGCCCUCGGGUUGUAAAGCACUUUCAGUGAGGAAGAACGCCUGGUGGUUAAUACCCAUCAGGAAAGACAUCACUCACAGAAGAAGCACCGGCUAACUCCGUGCCAGCAGCCGCGGUAAUACGGAGGGUGCGAGCGUUAAUCGGAAUUACUGGGCGUAAAGCGCGCGUAGGUGGCUUGAUAAGCCGGUUGUGAAAGCCCCGGGCUCAACCUGGGAACGGCAUCCGGAACUGUCAAGCUAGAGUGCAGGAGAGGAAGGUAGUAUUCCCGGUGUAGCGGUGAAAUGCGUAGAGAUCGGGAGGAAUACCAGUGGCGAAGGCGGCCUUCUGGACUGACACUGACACUGAGGUGCGAAAGCGUGGGUAGCAAACAGGAUUAGAUACCCGUGUAGUC
rnacentral:rRNA from 1 species